rnacentral:rRNA from 1 species
GGGUUGUGAGGUUAAGCGACUAAGCGUACACGGUGGAUGCCCUGGCAGUCAGAGGCGAUGAAGGACGUGCUAAUCUGCGAUAAGCGUCGGUAAGGUGAUAUGAACCGUUAUAACCGGCGAUUUCCGAAUGGGGAAACCCAGUGUGAUUCGUCACACUAUCAUUAACUGAAUCCAUAGGUUAAUGAGGCGAACCGGGGGAACUGAAACAUCUAAGUACCCCGAGGAAAAGAAAUCAACCGAGAUUCCCCCAGUAGCGGCGAGCGAACGGGGAGCAGCCCAGAGCCUGAAUCAGUGUGUGUGUUAGUGGAAGCGUCUGGAAAGGCGCGCGAUACAGGGUGACAGCCCCGUACACAAAAAUGCACAUGCUGUGAGCUCGAUGAGUAGGGCGGGACACGUGGUAUCCUGUCUGAAUAUGGGGGGACCAUCCUCCAAGGCUAAAUACUCCUGACUGACCGAUAGUGAACCAGUACCGUGAGGGAAAGGCGAAAAGAACCCCGGCGAGGGGAGUGAAAAAGAACCUGAAACCGUGUACGUACAAGCAGUGGGAGCACGCUUAGGCGUGUGACUGCGUACCUUUUGUAUAAUGGGUCAGCGACUUAUAUUCUGUAGCAAGGUUAACCGAAUAGGGGAGCCGAAGGGAAACCGAGUCUUAACUGGGCGUUAAGUUGCAGGGUAUAGACCCGAAACCCGGUGAUCUAGCCAUGGGCAGGUUGAAGGUUGGGUAACACUAACUGGAGGACCGAACCGACUAAUGUUGAAAAAUUAGCGGAUGACUUGUGGCUGGGGGUGAAAGGCCAAUCAAACCGGGAGAUAGCUGGUUCUCCCCGAAAGCUAUUUAGGUAGCGCCUCGUGAAUUCAUCUCCGGGGGUAGAGCACUGUUUCGGCAAGGGGGUCAUCCCGACUUACCAACCCGAUGCAAACUGCGAAUACCGGAGAAUGUUAUCACGGGAGACACACGGCGGGUGCUAACGUCCGUCGUGAAGAGGGAAACAACCCAGACCGCCAGCUAAGGUCCCAAAGUCAUGGUUAAGUGGGAAACGAUGUGGGAAGGCCCAGACAGCCAGGAUGUUGGCUUAGAAGCAGCCAUCAUUUAAAGAAAGCGUAAUAGCUCACUGGUCGAGUCGGCCUGCGCGGAAGAUGUAACGGGGCUAAACCAUGCACCGAAGCUGCGGCAGCGACGCUGAUGCGUUGUUGGGUAGGGGAGCGUUCUGUAAGCCUGUGAAGGUGUACUGUGAGGUAUGCUGGAGGUAUCAGAAGUGCGAAUGCUGACAUAAGUAACGAUAAAGCGGGUGAAAAGCCCGCUCGCCGGAAGACCAAGGGUUCCUGUCCAACGUUAAUCGGGGCAGGGUGAGUCGACCCCUAAGGCGAGGCCGAAAGGCGUAGUCGAUGGGAAACAGGUUAAUAUUCCUGUACUUGGUGUUACUGCGAAGGGGGGACGGAGAAGGCUAUGUUGGCCGGGCGACGGUUGUCCCGGUUUAAGCGUGUAGGCUGGUUUUCCAGGCAAAUCCGGAAAAUCAAGGCUGAGGCGUGAUGACGAGGCACUACGGUGCUGAAGCAACAAAUGCCCUGCUUCCAGGAAAAGCCUCUAAGCAUCAGGUAACAUCAAAUCGUACCCCAAACCGACACAGGUGGUCAGGUAGAGAAUACCAAGGCGCUUGAGAGAACUCGGGUGAAGGAACUAGGCAAAAUGGUGCCGUAACUUCGGGAGAAGGCACGCUGAUAUGUAGGUGAAGUCCCUCGCGGAUGGAGCUGAAAUCAGUCGAAGAUACCAGCUGGCUGCAACUGUUUAUUAAAAACACAGCACUGUGCAAACACGAAAGUGGACGUAUACGGUGUGACGCCUGCCCGGUGCCGGAAGGUUAAUUGAUGGGGUCAGCGCAAGCGAAGCUCUUGAUCGAAGCCCCGGUAAACGGCGGCCGUAACUAUAACGGUCCUAAGGUAGCGAAAUUCCUUGUCGGGUAAGUUCCGACCUGCACGAAUGGCGUAAUGAUGGCCAGGCUGUCUCCACCCGAGACUCAGUGAAAUUGAACUCGCUGUGAAGAUGCAGUGUACCCGCGGCAAGACGGAAAGACCCCGUGAACCUUUACUAUAGCUUGACACUGAACAUUGAGCCUUGAUGUGUAGGAUAGGUGGGAGGCUUUGAAGUGUGGACGCCAGUCUGCAUGGAGCCGGCCUUGAAAUACCACCCUUUAAUGUUUGAUGUUCUAACGUUGACCCGUGAUCCGGGUUGCGGACAGUGUCUGGUGGGUAGUUUGACUGGGGCGGUCUCCUCCUAAAGAGUAACGGAGGAGCACGAAGGUUGGCUAAUCCUGGUCGGACAUCAGGAGGUUAGUGCAAUGGCAUAAGCCAGCUUGACUGCGAGCGUGACGGCGCGAGCAGGUGCGAAAGCAGGUCAUAGUGAUCCGGUGGUUCUGAAUGGAAGGGCCAUCGCUCAACGGAUAAAAGGUACUCCGGGGAUAACAGGCUGAUACCGCCCAAGAGUUCAUAUCGACGGCGGUGUUUGGCACCUCGAUGUCGGCUCAUCACAUCCUGGGGCUGAAGUAGGUCCCAAGGGUAUGGCUGUUCGCCAUUUAAAGUGGUACGCGAGCUGGGUUUAGAACGUCGUGAGACAGUUCGGUCCCUAUCUGCCGUGGGCGCUGGAGAACUGAGGGGGGCUGCUCCUAGUACGAGAGGACCGGAGUGGACGCAUCACUGGUGUUCGGGUUGUCAUGCCAAUGGCACUGCCCGGUAGCUAAAUGCGGAAGAGAUAAGUGCUGAAAGCAUCUAAGCACGAAACUUGCCCCGAGAUGAGUUCUCCCUGACUCCUUGAGAGUCCUGAAGGAACGUUGAAGACGACGACGUUGAUAGGCCGGGUGUGUAAGCGCAGCGAUGCGUUGAGCUAACCGGUACUAAUGAACCGUGAGGCUUAACCUUACAACGCCGAAGGUGUUU